rnacentral:rRNA from 1 species
CCUACGGGAGGCAGCAGUGAGGAAUAUUGGUCAAUGGACGAGAGUCUGAACCAGCCAAGUAGCGUGAAGGAUGACUGCCCUAUGGGUUGUAAACUUCUUUUAUAUGGGAAUAAAAUGUUCCACGUGUGGGAUUUUGUAUGUACCAUAUGAAUAAGGAUCGGCUAACUCCGUGCCAGCAGCCGCGGUAAUACGGAGGAUCCGAGCGUUAUCCGGUUUUAUUGGGUUUAAAGGGAGCGUAGGUGGAUUGUUAAGUCAGUUGUGAAAGUUUGCGGCUCAACCGUAAAAUUGCAGUUGAAACUGGCAGUCUUGAGUACAGUAGAGGUGGGCGGAAUUCGUGGUGUAGCGGUGAAAUGCUUAGAUAUCACGAAGAACUCCGAUUGCGAAGGCAGCUCACUGGACUGCAACUGACACUGAGGCUCGAAAGCGUGGGUAGCAAACAGGAUUAGAUACCCUAGUAGUC